rnacentral:sRNA from 1 species
UUGAAUGACUUCAAGAUAUUUCCGUGUUUCUAUAAAUAGAAUUCACGAAGUUGUCAGUAAAAACAAAGAUUUUAUAAAAUAACGAGAAAGGAGUCUUUUGGCCAGCAUAACGACUCGUACCCAUUGGAGUUUUCAAAUUGAAAAUACAAGUCUUCAUUAAGAUUCGAGCCAAGGACCUAAGGUUCAGAAGUCAAAAACUUAACCGCUUUUGAUUUACAAGGUGAGCAUGUGUGUGGUUAUAAUUGCAAGUAUAUGUUUGUAUCUGCAUAUGUGAGUUUAUAAUUCGAUGUAUAGCGCCACUCAAAUAGUAAAGCGAAAACCAAACUUAUCAGAUACUGAUAUGUGUCUACACAUAUAUUUUUGUGAUUUUAUGACUAAAUGAAUUUUUGGUAAAUAUAUAGAUCUAAUAAAAAAUCGGAAAUUCCAAAUAUUUCUCCUCAAUUAAAAAUAGACACUAAAGUUUGGUAGAUUCUAAGAUCGUUUGCAAAUUUACUUAAUUCUACAUUCUUAACUUAAUGUUAGUCAAACUCCGCCGACACAUGUCCAGAAAUAAACUUAAAAAAUACUAUCCUGUUAGAGACAACUUAAUCCCAAACCUCCACAGCAAGUGUGGACAACUCUUUAGGACAUAUAAGGCUUGUCGGGGUGGUAGGAAAGGAAAGGGCUGGGCUCAGUUCAAAACUGUAACAAUAAAUGUUCACAGCUAAUAUUUGGAAAUGUACUAGAAAAAAAAGUGAAACAUGAUAUAUAACAAGGUCUACAAAGUACUCAGAUUUUUGUACAUCAUUUCUUGAAGUGGAAGAUUAAAAAGCCAAUUUAUGUAACAAAGUUAA